GACGGACGCUGGCGGCGUGCUUAACACAUGCAAGUCGAACGAUGAAGCCUAGCUUGCUAGGUGGAUUAGUGGCGAACGGGUGAGUAAUACGUGAGUGACCUACCUUUGACUCUGGGAUAAGCCUGGGAAACUGGGUCUAAUACCGGAUACGACCAAUCUCUGCAUGGGGUGUUGGUGGAAAGCGUUAUGGAGUGGUUUUAGAUGGGCUCACGGCCUAUCAGCUUGUUGGUGAGGUAAUGGCUUACCAAGGCGACGACGGGUAGCCGGCCUGAGAGGGUGACCGGCCACACUGGGACUGAGACACGGCCCAGACUCCUACGGGAGGCAGCAGUGGGGAAUAUUGCACAAUGGGCGCAAGCCUGAUGCAGCGACGCCGCGUGAGGGAUGACGGCCUUCGGGUUGUAAACCUCUGUUAGCAUCGAAGAAGCGAAAGUGACGGUAGGUGCAGAGAAAGCGCCGGCUAACUACGUGCCAGCAGCCGCGGUAAUACGUAGGGCGCGAGCGUUGUCCGGAAUUAUUGGGCGUAAAGAGCUUGUAGGCGGUUGGUCGCGUCUGCUGUGAAGGCCGGGGCUUAACUCCGGUUUUGCAGUGGGUACGGGCUAACUAGAGUGCAGUAGGGGAGACUGGAAUUCCUGGUGUAGCGGUGGAAUGCACAGAUAUCAGGAGGAACACCGAUGGCGAAGGCAGGUCUCUGGGCUGUAACUGACGCUGAGAAGCGAAAGCAUGGGGAGCGAACAGGAUUAGAUACCCUGGUAGUCCAUGCCGUAAACGUUGGGCACUAGGUGUGGGGGACAUUCCACGUUUCCCGCGCCGUAGCUAACGCAUUAAGUGCCCCGCCUGGGGAGUACGGCCGCAAGGCUAAAACUCAAAGGAAUUGACGGGGGCCCGCACAAGCGGCGGAGCAUGCGGAUUAAUUCGAUGCAACGCGAAGAACCUUACCAAGGCUUGACAUGCAUUAGAUCGCGUCAGAGAUGGCGUUUCCCUUCGGGGCUGGUGUACAGGUGGUGCAUGGUUGUCGUCAGCUCGUGUCGUGAGAUGUUGGGUUAAGUCCCGCAACGAGCGCGACCCUCGUUCUAUGUUGCCAGCGGUUCGGCCGGGGACUCAUAGGAGACUGCCGGGGUUAACUCGGAGGAAGGUGGGGAUGACGUCAAAUCAUCAUGCCCCUUAUGUCUUGGGCUUCACGCAUGCUACAAUGGCCGGUACAGAGGGUUGCGAUACUGUGAGGUGGAGCUAAUCCCUUAAAGCCGGUCUCAGUUCGGAUUGGGGUCUGCAACUCGACCCCAUGAAGUCGGAGUCGCUAGUAAUCGCAGAUCAGCAACGCUGCGGUGAAUACGUUCCCGGGCCU
rnacentral:rRNA from 1 species